CAUACCAUGCUGAAUAUACCGGUUCUCGUUAGAUCACCGAAGUCAAGCAUCAUUGGGCGCGGUCAGUACUUGGGUGGGUGACCACCUGGGAACACCGCGUGCCGUU